AGCAUGCUUUAUAUCCUGACUUUGAGUCCUGCUCAAAGUCAAAACAACAGGGGUUUGUUUAAGGAGAGCAGUUAUUUGGGAGGGCACAUCUGUCUGGGACCAAGACGCUGUGUGUGGGAGGACUUCUGAUAGAGAUGAGAUGCACAGAUACUGUAUAAACGUUAGGAGGUUGGGAUGAAGUCUUUUUCAAAGGUAGGCACUCCUGUAUAGCCAACAGCCUGCUAGUUUCCUUCGGAUUUUGUCGUGCUCCUUUUGUUACAAGGAUUCAGGACUUUGCUUCCACUCUGAAAAGUUGAAACCCUCUGCCUUUGAAGCUGACCCAUGCCCUCCCUCCCUAACACAGAAUUUGUACCCUGGGCUAAUAGAAAUAGGGUGUAUUUGACCUGGUAAAUUGAUGGGAGAAAAUGCAAGGAGAUCUUUGUGUGGCACAUUGAUCUCAAACCACCAGACUGCAAAGCCUAUGGUCUCCCUUAAAAUAUCCCACACCACCAAAAUAACCAAAUAAUGGGGCAGGGGAAGACUUUUAAUAGGAUGUCUUUUAAAAGGCUCUUCAAAGGGAGUUGUGUGUGUGUGAGAGAGGAUAUUGUGUAUCUUCACUGCCCUCAUUACUUACUCGCUUGUAAAUAUACUGUGUACUCACUCUGUCUGCUGCAAAAAUGAAUGAAAUGGAUACAGCCCUGUUCGGUUUUUGUUGUGGAGCGACACUCAUCAUGCAAUAAACAUAAUUGAUCUGAGUAGGUGGUUACAUGUAGAGCAACCUUCAUAGAUAUGGCCUGGGUGUGUUUUAUGGAGCCAAACCACAGCAUACUGUUUUUGUUAAAAGAUUCGGCCAUAAGUUCAUAUAAUUUUUAUUGGUGGAAUUUGGGCCCCUUUUUUUUCUAAUGUAUAAACAUAGAUGUCUAUUCAAGUAGCCAAUAUAUAUAUAUACUAUAUCUAGGACGUCUGCCAUUGUUAAAAUGAAGCCCUGUGGACACUGUCUGCCAUUUCUGUGGGAAUAAAGCCCUACCAUGGCAGCUGCUAAGAUGCUAAAUGAUACUCAUACGUAUCUUUUUAUAAGUACAAGAUGAGUUUUGAGUUGUUUCCACGUUGUAUUAACAAGGUACUGCUAAUGGUGUACAUCUAUAAUUCAGCAGGUCAGAAGC
ensembl:lncRNA